GUCUGUUUGGAAACAUGAGCACACCUUCUAGAUGUGGCUUUGACAUUGUCGGUGAAGUCUUUUGGAAUGACCUUUUGACGCCGUCGUAGUCCCCACCGAAACCCAUAAUGCCAGCUCCUCCCACUUUCUUGAUGUGGUCAAAAUGAUCUAAAGUGAAAACACUUGGAUGGUUGAAAACUUGGCUUUGCACCACUUCCUCAUAUUCGCAAAGCUUGCGAUGGCGUGCCAGUCGAGUAGGCUACCGGCGACGUUGGCCAGAGUGGCGGUGGGGGAGCAGCUCACGUAGUCGUUGUAGAAGUUGAUCAUCACAAUUCCUCCACUUUCGUUCUGGACAGACGCAAAAUAGACGGCGUAGGCCGAAGAGUGGCUGAAGAUGACGGGCGCCUUGGACAGGUCCAGCGCCUGCUGCAUCACUGACACGGGCACGUGGGACAAGUCGAUCAGCAUGCCCAAGCGGUUCAUUUCCGCAAGCACUUGCUGGAAGGGAAGUAAGAUGAUUUCAUUUUUCAAAUGUUGUAAGCGCUCUUGUCGUUCCUCAUCCACUGCCGAGGAGCGCCGUUUCGGAAUCAUUUGGUUUUCAAACGUCAUUCGUACGACUGGUGUAAACUGACCUUGCCGAAAGGAGACAGGCCUUUGUUUUCAGAUGGUUCUGAUCCAGUGUCCACAAGCCAGUUAUCAGCCCUGACAAUUAAGUUUAUUUUGAAUGAAUGAAUCUACAAACUCACCCCAGCUGAAUAAAUACAGGGAAAUCAAUAAUGAUGAUUUGGGAAUUCGAUGGACUGACAAUUCCCGCUGGAUAUUUUUCACGGCCGAUGAUGUCGAAAUUUUUACACGGGUGCGUCCCUACCAGGGUACGUUGCA